rnacentral:rRNA from 1 species
UACGUAGGGAGCAAGCGUUGUCCGGAAUUACUGGGCGUAAAGGGCGCGUAGGCGGGGAUUUAAGUUAGAUGUGAAAACUCCGGGCUUAACCUGGAGACUGCAUUUAAAACUGGAUUUCUUGAGGGCAGGAGAGGAAAGUGGAAUUCCUAGUGUAGCGGUGAAAUGCGUAGAUAUUAGGAGGAACACCAGUGGCGAAGGCGACUUUCUGGACUGUACCUGACGCUGAGGCGCGAAAGCGUGGGGAGCGAACAGG